GUGAAAAUAAUUGUAAAUCAUAUAUUGGAAAAGGGAAUUGUAUACAAAAUAUAUAAAGAACAUUUACAAUUCAAUAAUAAAAAGUUUUUUUAAAAAAUGGUCAAAGGAUCUGAAUCAAUGCCUCUCCAAAGAAGGUACACAAAUGCCCAUAAGCACAUGAAAAGAUGCUCAUUAGGAUUAAGCAAAUAAAAACAUAAUGAGAUACUACUUCACUUCCAGUAAUAUAGCUAUAGUGAAAAAGACAGGGAGUUCCCACUGUGGCACAGGUAUUAAGAACUGCAGCUCAGGUCCCUGCAAAGGGAAGGAUAUAAUCCCUGGGCAGGUGCAGUGAGUUAAAGUAUCCAGCCUUGAGACAGCUGUGGCAUAGUUUGCAACUGAGGCUUGGAUUCAAUUGCCGGCUCAGUGCACAGGAACGUCUGUAUGCUGUGGGUGUUACUAUUAAAAAAAAAAAAAAGAAGAUAGCAAACAUUAGUAAAUAUAUGGAGAAAAUGGACCUCUCAUACAUUUCUGAUAAAAAUGUAAAAUGGAUUUUUACAUUUUGGAAAAUUACUUUGGAAAAUUGUUUGGCAGUUCCUCAAAAUAUUAAACAUAGAGUUACCACUAGACACAGUAAUUCCACUCCUAAGUAUAUAUCCAAAAUAAAUGAAAUAUGUCCAUACAAAUGCUUGUACAGAAAUGUUUAUAGCAGAAUUAUUAGUAGUAACCAAAACAUUUGAGUGGAAACAACUCAAAUGUCCAUCAUAUGAUGAACAGAUUAAUAAAUACAUUGUAUCUAAGCAAUAGAAUAUUAUUCUGCCAACACGUCCUCUACAAAAAUUAUGUCAGAAUAGCCCAUAAACUUUAAUGCAAGAAUACAAAAUUUUGGGAAAAAAUCUCAGAAGAAAACCUUCAGAAUAUAGGAGAAGGCAAAUAAUUCUUUUUGUUCUCUCUCUUUUUUUCUUUUUAUGGCCACACCUCCAGCAUAUGGCAGUUCCCACGUUAGGGACUGAAUGGGAGGUACAGCUGCCAACCAUAGCCAUAGCAAUGCCAGAUCCCAGCCCUAUCUGAGAACUACACUGCAGCUUGUGGCAAUGCCAGAGCCUAGAAUUCUGAGACAUGAUUCCAAAAUCAUGAAGUAUAAAUACAAAAACUGAUAAAUUAGACCACAUCAAAUUUGAAACUUUUUGCAUGUUGAAAAGGAUUUAUAAGUUCCUCUCAUGGUUCAGUGGUAACAAACCCAACUAGUAUCCAUGAAGAAACAUGUUCAAUCCCUGACCUUGUUCAGUGGGUUAAGGAUCCGGCAUUGCCAUGACCUGUGGUGUAGAUCGCAGAUGUGGCUUGGAUCCCAUGUUGCUUUGGGGAUGGUGUAGACUAGUAGUUACUGCUCUGGUUAGACCCCUAACAUGAGAACUUCCAUAUGCUUCAGGUAUAGCCCUUCAAAAAAGACAAAAAAAAAAAAAAAAAGAUUCAUGAAAAGUCAAGCUACAAAUUGAAUGGAAAUAUUUGCAAAACACAUAUUCAACAAAGAAUUAAUACCUAGAAUAUAUAAAAAAAUUCUCAAACUCACAGUGAUAAAACAAUACAACUAGAAAGUGGCCAAAAAAUACGAACAAACUUUUCACUGAAGAACAUAUACAGACAGCAAAUAAGACAUAAAGAUUUUCAGCAUCAUUAGCAAUUAGUGAACAAAUUGAAACAAUAAACCAAAAUGAAACAUCACUACAUACAUAUCGGAAUGACUCACAACAUCAAAUGAUGAUGGGGAUCUGGGACACCAUCACCCAUGCAUUGUUGGUGGGAAUAUAAAAUAACAGAGGCAGUCUUAAAAACAAUUUGUCAGUUUCACAAGCAGCUAAACAUGUAACGACCAUACAACCUAGCAAUUACAGUUUGGGGCAUUUAUCUGAAUGAAGUGAAGUACACAACAGUCACUGAUGAAAGAUGCUGAAGCAGGCUGCUUGUUUCCAGCCCUCCCCAAUCUAUGUUUCUUUUUGAAUUUAAGUUCAGCUUAAAUAUUUUUUAUUUGAAUGAUUUAGACAAAAAUAUAGGGAUAAGAGAGAGGGCCAGAAGAGAAGUGAAUUGUAGUUUGGAGUACGCAGUGAUUUUUAAAAAUGUCUACUUUCCACAACGAUUAGGCUAAAAGUUCAGUAAAAUCUGUAUGAGAAGUAGUCAAAGAGAAAUAGUAUAUGCUUUCAUUUAUAUGUGGAAUCUUAAAAAAAAAAAGGAAUGAAGAUAACAAAACAGAAACAUACUCAAAGAUACAGAGAACAAAUCAUGGUUACCAGAGGGAAGACUGGCAGGGGAGGGGCAAGAUAAGGGUAGAGGAUUAAGAGGUACAAACAACCAAAAAUAAAAAAGUUACAAUGAUAUACAGUAGAAAACAGGAAAUACAGCCAAUAAUUCAUUAUAACUUUAUACGGAGUGUAAUCUAUCAAAAUGUCAAAUCACUAUGUUAUGCAUCUAAAAAGAAUAUGAUAUAGUAAGUCAACUAUACUUCAACAAAUAAAUUAAUUAAUUAAAUAUCAAAUAUGGAAAAAAUUAAAUUGCAAAGUACCAUGAAUGUUUAUAGAGUUGUUGCUCUUUUAAAAACAUUACUUUUUGCUUGAAUUGUAUUAAGUGCAAAGUUGCGGAAUUUCCGCUGCAUAGGAUAUUGCACAUGAGUGUUUAGUUAUUGAGAUUUGCUAGUAUGUUUAUAAAACAUAAUUUUAUUAUUAUUAUUACCACGGUAUGGUAUGUUAUAGUUUUAUCAGCAGUGAUUCUGUAAGGGGAAACAUAUUUGAAUUUUAUUUUUUUGGAAAAGAAAUCCCUUGGGACAAAAGUGCUGCUUUCCACAGUGUCACCCAAAUGUGAGAGACCUCCCCCCCCCCAGUUCUAAAAUCCAGCAGAAAAGGUUAUGGGAAGUGACUCAUUUUUGCUUGAGGCAUUUUUUUGCCUUUGAUGCCUCUUUACCUUUUGCCUGAGCUUUCGUUUCAUAACAACAUAUGCUUCUUUUGUAAGUCCUUGUGUUCCCUCUAAAUAAGCCAGUUCUGUCAACAUACUCUGAUUUUUAUUGGUUUCAUAAAACGAUUUCCUCAUAAUACAGUUUGGGAGUUGAAAGUGAUUGUGGAGGCAUUUCAAUACACUCUCACAUUGUAUUUAUGAAGACACCGUUUUUACCCAUAGUUCAGACAACGGAAAUGGGGUAACUGCUAAUCACCCGCUUCUCCAUUAGUUACCUCCCUCCUCUGUGCAGAUAUGCAUUAAUUACGUGUGAUCACUUCAUUACCUAUCAUCACAUCCCGAACACCCACAGGAGACACACAAACGCACACUCUUUUCUCUUACUAUGCUUUGCAAACUGCUCAUGUGAAGCUGAUGAUCCUUUUAUGUUUAAUAAAAUCCGCGAGAUUGGCCCACCUUUGAACACUUGAAAUGGAAGGAGUUACUUUCAAGAAGAGGGUUUUCAAAGGCAGCAGGAAGGGCAGGGCUGAGCAGCAGCCUGGUGAGCAAAACGCUAAGAGUUCCGCUGUCAUCUCGACCCUGGUGACCCCUUCACUCCACUCCACUUCCCUCAGCUGCAAAAACAGAGAGCUGUCUUACCCUUGCUUACUUGAGGACAUGAAAAGAAAGCAUGCAACCACGAUGCGUGGAGGCUGAACCUAGCAGUGAAGUCUAUGGAAAAAGGCGAGGUGAGAAUCAGAAGACCUGAACCCUGUUUUCCACCAAUCGGGACUCUGUGACCACAAAGACGGCGACGCUUUCAUUUCUUUAUCACAAAAUGGCCGUAAUCGCAACGACAAAAAAAGUGAAUCUUGCAGUUCUUUUAAGAGAGGAAUACUUCCAAAGGUACAUUAAAAUCCAAAUAAAGACUGCAUUCAUUUGAUGUAUUGUUAUAAUUGCCAAAUAAGUCACAGAAUUAGGUCUGACCUCAUAACUCAUUUUCCUAGGUUUGAAUAGGAACCAAAUAAUUUUUUAGUCUCAUGGCAAAUAUACUUUAGUCAAAGGAAUUUUAAGGUUUUACUCAAUAGGAAAACUGAUGGCCAAAAAGCAAUUCAAAGAGCUUCUUAACGGACAUUUGUUCUUGGAUAUCAACCUCUAAAAACAAGGUUUUGGAGUGAAUCAGAGCUCAGUGGAUUGCAUUCUGUCGAACAAUUUUAGAAAGAGAGAAAAUGUUUACUCGAAUGUGAUUGGAAUUUCAGAAAAGGCAGAAUUAUAUUUUAUACUGUUUAUGGUAUUUAAAGUUUGUAGUAAUGCACUGAAAACUGUGUUAAAUAAAUGAGAAGCCUUUUUAAAGAUGCCGCUAAAAAAACCAUAGCAAUUUUGUUUAAACCAAAAAUACCUAUUAGCUAGUAUUAGAUAAUUUCCUUUGUAAUUUUUCAAACUCAAAGAUUUUUAAAGACUUUAGCAAAUCAACAGCUUAAAACAUAUAAAGAUAUGUUCUGGCAAUUCUAACACUUAAAAUCAGUAGGAGUUAAGAAAAAUAUCUGAGGAAGCUGAGAAAUGCAAUGCAAAUACUUUCAACUCACCUGCCUCAUUUCUUGAUCAAGGUCUACAAAAUGCUAUCUACCUAUUGGCUGUUCCUUCUGAAUAUUAAUAAUAUGAUCAAAAAUAUCAUUUUGUUUUAUGCUUCUAUCUACUUAAAGAGUUUUAUUCUAAUUACCCUAGGCUUUAACACUUUCAGUAUGGAUGGUGUUCACGUUACACGGGUAUAUUGACAAAAAAAUUAUUUUCAGGAAGAAUUUAAGUGACUUGAAGUCAAAGCAGAACUGAAAAGGAAGUGCCUGUUGGUUUUGCCCAUACCAUCUGAAGGCUGAUAUUGCAAUUCUCUUUUCCUUGCUGAGCUGCUUACUCUUUCAUAGAAAAUAAAAUUAUGGGAAAUUGCAUGAAAAAGUUGGUAUUGCAACUUUUAAAAGGGAAGGGGGCUGAAAACUUCUUAUGGAAAUUAGAAACUAUAAUGAAGACGCAAAAUAUACAGACCCAGAAAAAAAACAAUUGCCAUACUUAACUCAGUUAUAAUGUAUCUUUUACCACAGUAAUUACAUCAACUGAAAUCAUAAUCUAAUUUUUGCCUAAUUACACCUUAUGAUAUAAGGCACAAUAAUAAUUGAACUUAUGCCAUGGUUAAGUGAUUACUAUUCUACCUUACACUACAUCAUCCACACUACUCUAAAGCACUUACUCCCAAUCAAUGUUAACUCCAUAUGAAAGGAGGAAAAGUCCUCAGCAGUCUUUUCAUGCAGUCUACUCCACUGCCUGAGUUAAAUGGGAUCUUAGCACUGUCUGACACAGUACCAAAGAUUGGAAUAUAAAAACAGAGCUGUAUCUCUGAGGUUUUUCUAUUAAGCUAUUAAAUCAAUAGACUUUAAAAUAAUUUUUAAAAUGUAACUUCAAAAUACAUCCAUUUAUGAAUCUAUAGAGACAAAAAUCAUGAUUAUUUCUAAUUAAAAUUAACUAAGGUAUUUUUCUAUUGCUCAACAAAAUUUAGUUUUUAACCAAAACUAGCUAAAGCAUAUUUUCUAUUACUUACCACUGGUGUCAAGCAAGGAAGGAAACUAAUAUCUCUGGCAUCUUCUGCUGAAAGUAAUGUUCAAAUCCUUUCUCAUUCAGUCCUUACGAGAUAUCAUGAGCGAAGUUUAUUAUUUUUGUUUUUUACAAACAAGGAAACAGAGACACAAGCAAUUUUCCAGGUAAAUAACAGGGCAGUGAUUCAAAUGCAUUUAGUUCAAAUUCAUUUUAUGACAAAAUAGUGAGAAAGUGUGAUAAAAAUGGUAAAAUGUAUUAUUUUGUUCUGUGCUUUUUUUCAUAUUUGUGA
ensembl:lncRNA